rnacentral:rRNA from 1 species
CACGUAGGGGGGCGAGCGUUGUCCGGAUUUAUUGGGCGUAAAGAGCUCGUAGGCGGCUCGGUAAGUCGGGUGUGAAAACUCUAGGCUCAACCUAGAGACGCCACCUGAUACUGCUGUGGCUAGAGUCCGGUAGGGGGAGCAUGGAAUUCCUGGUGUAGCGGUGAAAUGCGCAGAUAUCAGGAGGAACACCAGUGGCGAAGGCGGUGCUCUGGGCCGGAACUGACGCUGAGGAGCGAAAGCUAGGGGAGCAAACGGG